GUCGAACGAUGAAGCCCAGCUUGCUGGGUGGAUUAGUGGCGAACGGGUGAGUAACACGUGAGCAACCUGCCCCUGACUCUGGGAUAAGCGCUGGAAACGGCGUCUAAUACUGGAUACGAGACGUGAUCGCAUGGUCAACGUUUGGAAAGAUUUUUCGGUUGGGGAUGGGCUCGCGGCCUAUCAGCUUGUUGGUGAGGUAAUGGCUCACCAAGGCGUCGACGGGUAGCCGGCCUGAGAGGGUGACCGGCCACACUGGGACUGAGACACGGCCCAGACUCCUACGGGAGGCAGCAGUGGGGAAUAUUGCACAAUGGGCGCAAGCCUGAUGCAGCAACGCCGCGUGAGGGAUGACGGCCUUCGGGUUGUAAACCUCUUUUAGCAGGGAAGAAGCGAGAGUGACGGUACCUGCAGAAAAAGCACCGGCUAACUACGUGCCAGCAGCCGCGGUAAUACGUAGGGUGCAAGCGUUAUCCGGAAUUAUUGGGCGUAAAGAGCUCGUAGGCGGUUUGUCGCGUCUGCUGUGAAAUCUGGGGGCUCAACCCCCAGCCUGCAGUGGGUACGGGCAGACUAGAGUGCGGUAGGGGAGAUUGGAAUUCCUGGUGUAGCGGUGGAAUGCGCAGAUAUCAGGAGGAACACCGAUGGCGAAGGCAGAUCUCUGGGCCGUAACUGACGCUGAGGAGCGAAAGGGUGGGGAGCAAACAGGCUUAGAUACCCUGGUAGUCCACCCCGUAAACGUUGGGAACUAGUUGUGGGGUCCAUUCCACGGAUUCCGUGACGCAGCUAACGCAUUAAGUUCCCCGCCUGGGGAGUACGGCCGCAAGGCUAAAACUCAAAGGAAUUGACGGGGACCCGCACAAGCGGCGGAGCAUGCGGAUUAAUUCGAUGCAACGCGAAGAACCUUACCAAGGCUUGACAUAUACGAGAACGGGCCAGAAAUGGUCAACUCUUUGGACACUCGUAAACAGGUGGUGCAUGGUUGUCGUCAGCUCGUGUCGUGAGAUGUUGGGUUAAGUCCCGCAACGAGCGCAACCCUCGUUCUAUGUUGCCAGCACGUAAUGGUGGGAACUCAUGGGAUACUGCCGGGGUCAACUCGGAGGAAGGUGGGGAUGACGUCAAAUCAUCAUGCCCCUUAUGUCUUGGGCUUCACGCAUGCUACAAUGGCCGGUACAAUGGGCUGCAAUACCGUGAGGUGGAGCGAAUCCCAAAAAGCCGGUCCCAGUUCGGAUUGAGGUCUGCAACUCGACCUCAUGAAGUCGGAGUCGCUAGUAAUCGCAGAUCAGCAACGCUGCGGUGAAUACGUUCCCGGGUCUUGUACACACCGCCCGUCAAGUCAUGAAAGUCGGUAACACCUGAAGCCGGUGGCCUAACCCCUC
rnacentral:rRNA from 1 species